rnacentral:rRNA from 1 species
AGAGUUUGGAUCCUGGCUCAGGACGAACGUUGGCGGUGCGCUUAAUGCAUGCAAGUCGAGGGAGAACCUUUCGAUCCGUAAGGACCGAAUGGGGAAACCGGCGAACGGGUGCGUAACACGUGAGGAACCUGCCCCGAAGACCGGGAUAGCCCGAGGAAACUCGGAUUAAUACCGGAUACCCUCUUUGGACCACAUGGUCUGUUGAGGAAAUGGUCCGCCGCUUCGGGAUGGCCUCGCGGCCUAUCAGCUUGUUGGUGAGGUAACGGCUCACCAAGGCAAAGACGGGUAGCUGGUCUGAGAGGACGAUCAGCCACACUGGGACUGAGACACGGCCCAGACUCCUACGGGAGGCAGCAGCAGGGAAUAUUGCACAAUGGGCGAAAGCCUGAUGCAGCGACACCGCGUGCGGGAUGAAGGCCCUCGGGUUGUAAACCGCUUUCAGGAGGGACGAAAAUGACGGUACCUCCAGAAGAAGGCCCGGCCAACUACGUGCCAGCAGCCGCGGUAAUACGUAGGGGCCAAACGUUGUCCGGAUUUAUUGGGCGUAAAGGGCUCGUAGGCGGUUCAACAAGUCGAUCGUGAAAGCCCGGGGCUCAACCCCGGGACGCCGGUCGAAACUGUUGUGACUAGGGUCCGGUAGAGGUGAGUGGAAUUCUCGGUGUAGCGGUGGAAUGCGCAGAUAUCGAGAGGAACACCAGU